UUUGUUAUUUGGUUGUUAGUUUGACUGUUACAUCGUUGAAUGUUUUCGCUCUCUUCCUGGUUGUAGUUUGUCCCAUGUUAAAGAGGUGACAGUUCCGAUAUUUUUUUCUCUGCCGAAACCUGCUGUUAGUAUUAAUCCUAUAUCGAUGGUGCAGGCAAGUUAGCUCAUCUCUUUUCUUUUUUUCCCCACAACAUUAAUCUUAUGACUUCAAUGAUGUGAUAAUGCAACGCAGUAAAAUCCGAGGAGAGUUUUAUCCGACAGUAUCAAUUGUGUUCAUAUUCUGAUGCCAUUGUUGCUAACCAGAAAAGUUGAGAAACUACCCUUUCGAACGUUUUUGGUCGCCUCUAAACUCGAUUUUUUUUCACGGUGUUUUGUAACUUGGGAUAUUUGUAAAGUUAUGGCAAGUCAAAAAAACUACUGACGUUCAUCUUUUUCUAAACCACGGGUUUGUAUGAAUAUUGUUAACCCAACAACAUGAGAAGUCGAAGCAACUCGGGGGUCAAACUUGACAACUACGCUCGGAUAGUACAUCAAACCAUACUUCAGUAUCAAGACCCAGUGACUGGUCUCCUCCCGGCCAGUGGAGAGCAGCCUGAUGCAUGGGUUAGAGACAACGUCUACAGCAUCCUGUCAGUCUGGGCUCUCAGUCUGGCCUACAGGAAGAAUGCUGACAGAGAUGAAGACAAGGCCAAGGCCUAUGAAUUGGAACAGAGUGUGGUAAAGCUAAUGAGGGGUGUUCUACAAUGCAUAAUGAGACAGCUGGACAAGGUGGAGAAGUUUAAGUACAGCAAGAGCACAGUCGACUGCCUCCAUGCUAAGUACAACACCAGGACAUGCGCUACCGUUGUCGGGGACGAUCAAUGGGGGCACCUGCAGGUGGAUGCUACCUCCUUGUUCCUGUUGUUCCUCGCACAGAUGACAGCCUCUGGACUUCACAUCGUGUACACUCAGGACGAGGUGGAUGUGGUCCAGAACCUCAUGUUCUACAUCGAGGCUGCUUACAAAGUGGCUGACUAUGGGAUGUGGGAGAGAGGCGACAAGACAAACCAGGGGAUCCCUGAGCUUAAUGCUAGCUCCAUUGGCAUGGCUAAAGCAGCCCUGGAAGCCCUGGAUGAGCUGAACCUGUUUGGAGCUAAAGGAGGACCUGGUUCUGUGGUGCAUGCUCUGGCUGACGACAUACAGCACUGUCAGUCUAUCCUCAACUCCAUGCUUCCCAGGGCAUCUAUGUCUAAAGAGGUGGAUGCUGGAGUUCUGUCCAUCAUCACAUACCCAGCUUUCGCUGUAGAGGACAUCUCUAUAGUCAACACCACCAAGGAGGAGAUCAUAUCCAAGCUACAGGGUCGAUAUGGAUGCUGUAGGUUUCUCAGGGAUGGACACAAAACCCCUAAAGAAGACCCUAAUCGUCUGUACUAUGAGUCAGCUGAGUUGAAGCUGUUUGAGAACAUAGAGUGUGAAUGGCCUCUGUUUUGGACCUACCUCAUACUGGAUGGAGUCUUUACCAACAGUCCCGAACAGGUUGAGGAAUACAGAGAAGCUCUGGAUGGGAUUCUAAUUAAACAGAAGAAUGGGAUCCAUCUGCUACCAGAGCUUUACAGCGUUCCACCUGACAGGGUGGAUGAGGAGUAUUUGAACCCACACUCUGUGGAGAGAGUCCCCCUGGGGAAGCUCCCUUUGAAGUGGGGACAGUCUCUGUAUGUCCUGGGCAAUCUACUAGCAGAGGGUUUCCUGGCCCCUGGUGAGAUAGACCCUCUCAACCGACGUUUCUCCACUAUCCCAAAGCCUGACGUUGUGGUGCAGGUGUCUAUUCUGGCAGAGAACGAGGAGAUCAAGGCGUUGCUGAUGAAGAACGGGAUAGAGGUGCAGACAGUAGCCGACAUCCACCCCAUCCACGUCCAGCCUGCUAGGGUGCUCAGCCACAUCUAUGCACGCCUGGGGCGUAAUCAGAGGUUAGGGCUGACCGGUAGACCAUACAGGAGGAUUGGAUGUCUCGGGACCUCUAAGUUCUAUGUCAUUCGCAAAACCAUCUUCGCCUUCACACCACAGUUCAUAGACCAUCAGCAGUUUUACUUGGCGUUGGACAACCAAAUGAUUGUGGACAUGCUUCGUACAGACCUCUCCUACCUCUCCUCUCGUUGGAGGAUGACUGGAAGACCCACCGUCACCUUUCCCAUAUCACAGACCAUGUUGACUGAAGACCACUCAGACCUAGACCCUGCGGUCCUGGCCACUCUGAAGAAGCUACAGGAUGGGUACUAUGGUGGAGCAAGGAUCCAGACGGGGAAGCUCUCUGAGUUUCUGACCACUUCCUGUUUUGCCAAGCUUAGCUUCCUGGAUGGUGGUAAGCAUGCUGGAAUGGCAGGACAUGACGAUGAGGAUGACGAAGACCAUGGCUUGACCUUCGAUGGUGAGGCUGAUGAUCUUACUGAGUACCUGGACCAGUUGUUGACCAUAGCAAACCCCAGCAGAGGGUUAAAGGUCAGGAGUGUUUCCAGACGGCGGCAGAUGUUCAAGGAAGCAGCCACUAAGACCAAGGACAUGUUGUCCCUCAUGCAGAAGGCCACAGAACUAAACCUGCUAAAUGCAAACAUGUAUUUGCCCACCAAGCUGUUUCAUUCUCCUCAGCCCUCCCUGCACCUCAACCUUACAGACUCAACUUUGCCUCACACCGGUCAGGCCAUGGUGGCCUCGGAAUGUCACCUGCCCUUAGAUGCCAGUGGGGGCAUAGACUACAAUGUUCUGGUACAGCUACUAGGAGACACGCGGAGUCUUCAGGACCAGGCGGACAUUUUGUACAUCCUCUUCAAAGACAAGGGUAUGGAAUGGGACACCAGGCUACAUGGGACGGGCUCUACAGUCUGCUCCCUGUUGACAGACCUCUAUGAAAAGGCAGGAGACCUCAAACACUGGGGUCUCAUACGGAUGAUCUCUGGAAUGCUGAAGAAGAAAGUAGAGGAACUUGACUGGGCCUGCUCUGAUUUGCUGGCCCACCAGAAGCAUCUAACAGUGGGUCUGCCUCCAGAACCUCGGGAGAAGACAAUCACAGCACCGAUUCCUCCAGACAAGCUUGCCAAGCUGAUAGAUGAAGCCAGUGAGAACAACAUCACUAUAGCCAUCCUCACACAGGAGAUCAUGGUGUACUUGGCAAUGAACAUGCGUACCCAGCCAAACCUGUUCAGUGAGAUGUUCCGCCUGCGUAUCGGACUCAUCAUUCAGGUGAUGGCCACCGAGCUUGCACAGUCUCUCAACUGCUCAGGAGAGGAGGCUACAGAGAGUCUGAUGAGUCUGAGCCCAUCAGAACUGAAGGUCCUACUGCAUCACAUUCUCAGUGGGAAGGAGUUCGGAGUGCAGAGGAGUGUGCGUUCUGUAGAUGCAGGUGCCAGUCCUGCAAUCUCAAUCCACGAGAUGGGUAAUGUAGGUGCCACCAAAAGUGAAAGGGCGGGCAUCAGCAAGCUGAAGAGUGACAUGAGGAUGUUGGAGGAACGCAGGUUAUCAUGGUUGGAGCAGAUACAGAGUCUAAGACCACACUCUCUAGACAUGGAUAACAUUGGAUCUGGGAGGUACAAGCUCCCUUCAAUAGAGUCUCUGGACAUCCCAGAGAGCACUCCCAUAGUCAAGGAUACGAGGCACGGCCAGUGGCUCCGUAGGAGGCGUCUAGAUGGAGCACUCAACAGAGUCCCUGUAGGCUUCUAUCAGAAGGUCUGGAAGAUUCUACAAAAGCACACUAUCGUUUCUCCUUGCAGUGUCAUGGUCUGUCCAUUGAGGGAUUUGUUCUCCCAUCUUCAACAACAAGAGAGAUGACAGUAGAUGAAAUCAAGUUUGCCGUGCACGUGGAGACCGUGUUGAACCGUGUGCCCCAGCCGGAGUACCGCCAGCUGCUAGUGGAGGCCAUCUUAGUCCUCACCAUGCUGGCGGACGUGGAGAUAGAGAGUGUCGGCAGCAUCAUCCACGUGGAGAAGAUUGUCCAUAUUGCCAAUGACAUGUUCUACCAUGACCAGAAGGAUUUGGGAGCAGAGAAGCACAUCUUAGAGAGGGACCCCUCCACCGGAGUGUGCCGCCUGCUUUAUGAUAGCGCACCAAGUGGACGCUUUGGCAGCAUGACUUACCUCACCAGGGCUGUGGCUGUCUAUGUGCAGGACUUUCUGCCUGGGGGCUCCUGUGCACUGCAGUAGACACUAACAUGUAUGCACGCACACACACACACACACACACACUUGUCUGAUCUGCGCAGGCAUAAACAGAUUGUGUUGACAGAAAAGCCUUUCUUUUAGUGUUUGUUGGAAAAACCAGCGUGGCAACUUUUUGCAUCCAACAUGGACUAACAGUGACUCUGUUUGCACUACUGCUCACAUGCCACCCUAUCAAUAGCAAAUGGUUAUCAUAGCAAGUUUACAGUUAUGUUUGAUGCUUUGAUUUGUUGAGAUGACUACCAGGAAUAAUGUGAGUAAUUUAUCAAAAUCCCUAUCGAGGUCUGAUGUAGCCUGUGAUCUGAAGUUGAUGAAGAUUGUAGCUUAGUGUUUUCCAAUCCUGCUCCUAGGGAUCUAAAAGGGCAACCAUUUUGUUUUUUGCACUAGCUCUUAACAAGCUUGAUACAACGGCACAAUUUGUACCUGCUAAAAUAUGCACCCCUUUUGUUUCCUCAGGACCAGAAUUUAAAAGCACUGCUGAUGUCACCUGGGUUGUAUGGAAUUCAGAUGUUUUUAUUGUGAAUUUUUCAGAUAUGCUUUACCUAACAAAAGCCUUGCAUAUUAGUAAUAAAGGUAAUAUGUUUUGGGGAUUUACUUAGUUUCUGUUUGUACUACUUUGUAUCAUGCAAAUGUGAAUGUUCUAACAUAAUAUGCUACAUAGAUUUUAUUUGUUUGGUAAUUCCAAAAAUAUAUAAAUUUUGCCCUACAAAUGUUUUCUUUAACAUUUAUAAUGGUUAAGACUAAAACUUAUGUAACCUUGCAAGUAUUAGAUCAGUAUAAGAGUAUGUAAUUGUCAACAGAAAUGAAUGUAACUGAUGCUGUAUGUGUCCCAAAUAGUGCUUUUUUAUGUUGUAGUGCACUACACUAUAGGGGCACCACACUGUAGGCUUGAAAUAGUCCAUAAAUAGCAACUUAUCAAACAAUAUGCUCAGUGUUUACUCAAAACACACACAAAAAGAUUUCACAUUUAAAAACUAGAAUUUGGAUUAGAAUAAAAAUUCUGAAAUAGAA